GUUCAUCUCUGCCUCCGCUAGUGGUCAGCCUCAUUCACACUUCCACUGCGGCGAAAUCAACUUCAUCCUGUACGAAGCGGGGUUGCGUGGCGUCAGGACCGAGGGCCGGCGAAAUGACCUUCUCUAAUUCCCCUCUGCUCCAACUCCCAGCCUCCGCUUUCACUGCAGGUCGGUGGCGGGGUUCGUGCUUCCAGCCGGAGGCUGAGGCAGAAAACAAAGAAAAUAACACACGAAGACUCUGAAAAAAAAACCGCUAAACCAAGCCAGGGUCCAAGUCUACAAUAACAGAGUGUGAGGCUGGAUGACCACAACAGGCCAAGCAGCAUCUCAGGAGCACAAAAGCUGACGUUUUGGGCCUAGACACUUCAGCAGAGAGAGCUUCAGAUCCGGGGAUGCUUUGAAGUUAGUUCGUAUGUUGAUGUGCCUGUGUUUCAGAGGACUGUCAUCUAUGUGCACCAACAAACAGCAGGAGCAGAACCCUCAACCCCAGAACAGCAACCAGAGCAGAUUAAGGUUGCACUUCAAGAUGUGUGAUGCGGUUGUCUAGUGGAGGCUGUAAUUAAGAAUGAAAAUGCUAAUCCUCUGUGGGUUCUUCUUACUUUAGAUCCCAUUGGAGGCUAGUAGGCGAGUGGAGAAGGGAAUUUGAAUGUUAAUAUAUUUUUAUGUUUAUCACAUGUGUGUGUGCUAGAGAGCAUAAUGUUUCCAAUUGCUGGGUCAGCACCCAUGUCCCCAUACACUCUAAGGAAGGUAUACAAUGCGAAACAUCCCCUUUAAUGCUUCAGGAUGAGCUAAAUUGAUAUUAAGACAAAUAGCUCAAAACAGGGAGAUAGACAUGGGCACCCUACCCAACAGUGGGAAGUACAUUGCAAAUACUGACCGAGAUAGGGCACAAUGGAAAUCAGCAGGGUAUAACCUGACGACCUUUACAGGAUGGUACCAACCCAACUACAUGAUCUCAGGCACAACCCCGUCAAUCACAUUGACUAAUACAUCAAUGAUAGGGAGAUCUGAUGGCUUGAUUUCCCUACAAAGAGUUGAAAACCAAGGAAAAAGAACACCCAUGGGAUUUAUUAACCACACCCAGAGUUACAACAUCUCCUUGUACCCUGUCCCAGGACCCAUCAGUCCACUCUUCCUGACCAUGGAAUCCCUAAACGUGCCUCUUCUCAUGCAGGGUGGCCCGAGCUGCCUGACCUUCAGGAACCUCACGAGUAAACGAAUGUUCCAAUAAUGCUGGUACGCCAAGAUUAUUACCGAAUUCGCCCUGUACAACAGCACCUACUUUGUGUGUGAACACAGAAUCUAUGCCUGGCACCUGGAUAGGACCAUGUUGCUUGGCCUAUGUGGUAUGAUUCAUACACCACAGAACAUCCCACCUGCAAGUGAUGCCAUGAUGACACAAACAUACAAUUUCAGGAGUAGAUAGGCUUCUCUCCAUACUCUCACACUGAUACGGCACAGAGAAGUUAUCCAGAGAAUCUAUCAAUAUGGCCACAGUUUUAGAACAAGUGACCAAUGAUACAUCAUGAGCUCUGGGCAUAAUGAAUGCAGAAACGUUUGCCAUAUGAGCCAUGGCAUUGCAGAACCGAAUUAGCCUCGACAUGAUGUCAGCCAAAAAGGGAGGAACAUGUGCACUCAUUGGAAAAGAAUGCUGUAGGUACAUCCCCAAUAACUCAGAAGCAAUUACUGAUCUGGCCGACUGUAUCCAAAAAGAAAUGAAUAAACUCAAACAAGCUCCAUCUUUGAACCUAUGGAGUUGGGCAACAGGGUAGUUGGGAUCCCUUGGAAUGUCCAUCGUACAGGGAACUUAAUGUUUUUUGUAGCAUUGAUGUAUUGUUGAUGCAUUGCAUUGUUUUUUAGUUUUAUAAAAUGCAUUGUGACUGCAAUAAUGAAGAAAAUGACUGCAGAAGAGCUAUGUAUCAAAGGAAUGAACAUGCACCACCAAGCCAACAGACUAUUAGUGCAACAGUGAAAAGAAAUGGCUACCUCAUUGAACGAUGAAAAGAGGACCAUGGAUGCAACAUUACAUGGUGAAGGAUACUCUUGGAAUAUGACUUGGACUUUUGAACUCUGACUUGGACUGCUUAAAUAAUUAGUGGCCCUUGGCUGUAAUUUGGUCUAGGGCCAAAGGGGGAUCUAUAAGGUUGAUCUGUACCUAGCCAUGUAAUGUGACUUGUACCGGAUCACACCAAGUAGCCCAAGCCUGCUUACAAGAUGGCAGACAGAAGCUAAGCUAAGUAAAACUAAGCAGCCUGCUCACACAGUGAAAUACAAUGGUACCUUCGAACCUAAGUGCUGGAAGGUCAGUAAAAGAAUGCUGUAUGUUCCUAUCUGAGACAGUUCAGAUAAAAGGAUGCCAUAGGAUGGAUAAAUGACCAGUUCUAGCCUUAUUAAUGAAAGGAUGAUUGUUCCAGUAGAUCAGUAACAUUAGAUGCUAGAUUUAGUCCUUAAGCAGCUGCAAAGAUAACAGCUAAAGGUAUUUUGUCGUAAAUUGUUGCCUCUUUGAAGCUACCUGCAAUAUUAAAUAAUUUCUAGCUAAAGAUGCUGUAAUCAUAGAAGUUGGUAUUAAUACAUAACCAAAAUAUAAUACAAGCCUUAAACAAACACUGUUAAAUUUGGAUGUGAAGGUUAACUAGCCUUAGGAGAUACUUUCUCUUCUGCCCUGAACAAGUUGGAUCGUUCACCCCCCAUGAAUUACAAAAUGAUAAUUGUAGUAGUUGUAUAACUUUAUACUUAUUAUUAACUUUAUAACAGAAGUUAACCUUACAGCAAUUAGUUAAAACUAACUGACAUUUUAGUUUUACAUUAUGUAAUUGGGAAAGUUGGAAAAUAAAAGGAGUAACUGAAUGUGAUAAAAAACAGCACCAAAAUACAAUGGGUAAGAGAAUUCAAGCUGUGCUUACAAAUAAACAAGCCUGAGAAAGACCUGGAGAAGUGUAACCAUUAGAUUUUUGGAAUGCAAAUGAAUAGGAUGCAUAGAAAGAUCUCAAUCCUUAAAAAAUUAAAACGUCUAGCUACCACCAUAAGAUCAUGGGAACCUGGCUGUUUUCUGAUAAAGGGUCUAGGCCCAAAAUGUCGGCUUUCCGGCUCCUCUAAUGCUGCUUAGCCUGCUGUGUUCAUCCAGCUCUGCACCUUGUUAUCUUAGA